CCCAUCGCUCCUACCGAUUGAAUGAUCCGGUGAAAUGUUCGGAUUGUGGUGACGUGGGUGGUUCGCUACCCGCGACGUCACGAGAAUUCCAUUGAACCUUAUCAUUUAGAAGAAAGAGACGCCGUUA
rfam:Capsicum annuum cultivar Zunla-1 unplaced genomic scaffold scaffold1245, whole genome shotgun sequence